CAAUCGGCCCUUUUCAGGGCCACUAUAAUUUUCAAACGUUAAACA
rfam:Trichomalopsis sarcophagae strain Alberta scaffold2052, whole genome shotgun sequence.